GAGUUUGAUCGUGGCUCAGAUUGAACGCUGGCGGCAUGCCUUACACAUGCAAGUCGAACGGCAGCACGGGAGCUUGCUCCUGGUGGCGAGUGGCGAACGGGUGAGUAAUGCAUCGGAACGUAUCCUGGAGUGGGGGAUAACGUAGCGAAAGUUACGCUAAUACCGCAUAUUCUGUGAGCAGGAAAGCGGGGGACCUUCGGGCCUCGCGCUCUUGGAGCGGCCGAUGUCGGAUUAGCUAGUUGGUGAGGUAAAGGCUCACCAAGGCGACGAUCCGUAGCAGGUCUGAGAGGAUGAUCUGCCACACUGGAACUGAGACACGGUCCAGACUCCUACGGGAGGCAGCAGUGGGGAAUUUUGGGACAAUGGGGGCAACCCUGAUCCAGCCAUGCCGCGUGAGUGAAGAAGGCCUCGGUUGUAAGUAC
rnacentral:rRNA from 1 species